AGCGUAGAGGAUAGCCCAACAUAUUGAGAGAGACUCUUCCAGCAAUCCCAGCUUUGUUCCUAGGAUGAUGAAACUUACAUGUUACUCCAAACUUGCAGGUUCCUGUCUUCAAAUAGUACUGCUCAAACAUACAACAUAUAAAUGUUAUGUAAGAUGAUGAUUCAGUUACCAAAGCUUGAGAAAAUGCUAAUGUACAACGGACAAACCAAAAACUUCUUAUAAACAACAAAAACUGGAUCACCUCGCAUUCAGGCUGACCAAUCCUUUCAGGAUACUCUCCUCUCAUCCUUGCAGUGGCUAUAACCUAGGAAUUGGACAAUGAGAGAGAGAGAGAGUGUUUGAGAUCAAAACAAGUCCCAAAAGGCAAAAGCUUUGACAUAUCAAUUAGACCAAACAGAUCUCUAAACUCGAAAAUCACAGACAGGAGGACAAAGACCGUAUGUUACCAGUUCCCGAUCACGAGGAUGAUUGAACCGACAAGUAGAGCCAAAUCUACAAAGUCCAGUUCUGAUGUAAUAAGAACAGUCAGGCUCUCCUGGU
rnacentral:lncRNA from 1 species